rnacentral:rRNA from 1 species
AUUGAACGCUGGCGGCAUGCUUUACACAUGCAAGUCGAACGGUAACAGGCCUUCGGGCGCUGACGAGUGGCGAACGGGUGAGUAAUGCAUCGGAACGUGCCCAGUCGUGGGGGAUAACGCAGCGAAAGCUGUGCUAAUACCGCAUACGAUCUAUGGAUGAAAGCGGGGGACCGUAAGGCCUCGCGCGAUUGGAGCGGCCGAUGUCAGAUUAGGUAGUUGGUGGGGUAAAGGCUCACCAAGCCAACGAUCUGUAGCUGGUCUGAGAGGACGACCAGCCAGACGUGAACUGAGACACGGUCCAGACUCCUACGGGAGGCAGCAGUGGGGAAUUUUGGACAAUGGGCGCAAGCCUGAGCCAGCAAUGCCGCGUGCAGGAAGAAGGCCUUCGGGUUGUAAACUGCUUUUGUCAGGGAAGAAAUCUUCUGGGUUAAUACCUCGGGAGGAUGACGGUACCUGAAGAAUAAGCACCGGCUAACUACGUGCCAGCCGCCGCAGUAAUAC